rnacentral:rRNA from 1 species
GACGAACGCUGGCGGCGUGCCUAAUACAUGCAAGUCGAGCGAAGUUUUCCUGGUGCUUGCACCGGAAAAACUUAGCGGCGACCGGGUGAGUAACACGUAAAGAACCUGCCUCAUAGACUGGGACAACUAUUGGAAACGAUAGCUAAUACCGGAUAAUAGCAUUAACUGCAUGGUUGAUGUUUAAAAGUUGGUUUUGCUAACACUAUGAGAUGGCUUUGCGGUGCAUUAGCUAGUUGGUGGGGUAAAGGCCUACCAAGGCGACGAUGCAUAGCCGACCUGAGAGGGUGCGCGACCACACUGGGACUGAGACACGGCCAAGACUCCUACGGGAGGCAGCAGUAGGGAAUCUUCCGCAAUGGGCGAAAGCCUGACGGAGCAACGCCGCGUGAGUGAAGAAGGAUUUCGGUUCGUAAAGCUCUGUUGUUAGGGAAGAAUGAUUGUGUAGUAACUAUACACAGUAGAGACGGUACCUAACCAGAAAGCCACGGCUAACUACGUG